AGUCUAUCCCGUUUCGCGCACUCUCUCUCCCCGCCACUGGUGCUUCCGUCAUUUCCUCUGGGCUCUGCAAAUCAUCUCUUUCCGAAUAAUCCAUUUUCAAAUACAUGAUGCUCCUUUCAAUCUCACUGCUUCCCAAUUCAUCAGCCUCAUUCGCCACCGUAGCAUUUGCCGUCCCAAAAAUUCAAAGUGUUUUCAGGCAGUCCAUUCGAUUUAAGGUCCAUGCCUUCCUAAAUAAACCACUGGACUCGAGCUCUGCACCUGCCUCUAAUCAACCAUCCAUACUUGUCGAUAGUCUCAGAGUCCUCGAAUGGGACAAAUUAUGCGAUUCCGUUGCUUCCUUCGCCGGCACUUCCUUAGGCAAAGUAACUCUCAAGGAACAACUAGGGUACUUGAAUCAAACAUUUGAAGAUAGUCUCCGACUCUUAGAGGAAACCAAUGCCGCUGUUGAGAUGAAUAAGUACGGCGCCAUGAUGGAAUUUAACGGCAUCGAUAUUGAACUGGUCAAAACUGCCUUACAAGUUGCACGCAGAGGUUUUCCUGUCAGUGGGACUGAAGCAAUGAACAUUGUAGCGCUACUGCAGUUUGUUGAAAUGUUGCAGUCAAAUGUGAAAUCAGCAAUCAAGCAAGACGCAGAAUGGUAUCAGCGCUUUAUGCCUCUCACAGAAAUGAUUAUGGAAUUAAACGUAAGCAGAUCACUGGUGAGGUUCAUACAGCAACUGGUCGAUGAAGAUGGUUUCGUCAAGGAUUCUGCGAGCUCUGCCUUGAAACAAUCUCGUGAUCAAGUGCGCCUGCUUGAACGAAAGUUAUACCAGUUGAUGGAGAGCAUAAUCAGGAAUGGAGUGGAAGAAGCAUCUUCUAUGGAAGUGAGUGAAAUUGAUGGCAGAUUGUGCAUUAGAUCAGGAUUUAAUCAGCGAAUGAGCUUUGAGGGACUACUGUUGUCCAGUGCUUCAGGUACUGGAAGUGUUGUAGAACCUCUCUCAGCAGUUCCAAUGAAUGAUGCACUCCAGCAAGCCAAGGCAUCUGUGGCAAAGGCUGAAGCUGAUGUGCUCUUGAAGAUAGCACAGAAGAUGCAAGAAGAAAUUGAUAACAUAGAAAGCAUUUUCAGCAUUAUGGUUAGGCUAGAUGUGAUCAACGCAAGAGCACGAUAUAGUCUUGCAUUUGGAGGUGCUUGUCCAGACUUAUAUUUGCAACAAGAUAAGGAUAGCUUUGCAGCUACUGAUGCUUCGUUGGAAGCAAGAGCCUCAGUGGCAUUGCAUCCUACACGGAGGAGAUGGACAGUGUAUCUACCUAAAGCUUAUCAUCCUUUAUUACUUCAAAAGCAUCAGCAGGCUCUACAGAAGGCCAUGAAAGAUGUCAAGAAUGCCAAUGCGGAAGUUAGGAGGAGGAAGCAGCAGGGAGAAAACAUUAUUUUGAGAGAAGAAACCAAUUCGAAUUUACAGUCCUUGGAAGCAAAGGUUGCUAAGUUGAAAGAAGAACCUCCAGUUCCUGUUGACAUAUAUGUUGCUCACAACGCCCGAGUUUUGGUUAUAACUGGUCCGAAUACUGGGGGUAAAACCAUUUGCUUGAAGACUGUGGGUUUGGCUGCUUUGAUGGCAAAAUCUGGUCUUUAUGUGUUAGCAUCAGAACCAGUGAAGAUCCCUUGGUUUGAUUUUGUAUUUGCUGAUAUUGGUGAUGAGCAGUCCUUAUCCCAAUCACUGUCUACCUUCUCGGGGCAUCUGAAACAAAUUAGUAAAAUCCGGUCUCACUCAACAGACAUGUCACUUGUGCUAUUAGAUGAAGUAGGGGCGGGGACAAAUCCUCUAGAAGGAGCUGCACUUGGGAUGUCAUUACUGGAAUCUUUUGCAGAAGCUGGGAGUUUGUUGACUAUAGCUACAACACAUCAUGGAGAACUUAAAACCCUUAAAUACAGCAAUCAUGCCUUUGAAAAUGCAUGUAUGGAGUUUGACGAAAUGAAGUUGAAACCAACCUAUAGGAUUCUUUGGGGAAUACCAGGACGUUCAAAUGCGAUCAAUAUAGCCGAAAGGCUCAGGAUACCUGAUGUCAUUGUGCACAAGGCUCGUGAACUUUACGGAGCUGCUAGUGCAGAAAUCAAUGAGGUUAUACUUGACAUGGAGAGAUUUAAGCAGAACUUUCAUGAGCAAGUUCGUGAAUCACAACAUCUUCUGAAGCUCACUAGAGGUCUCCAUAACAAGUUGCUUUUAGCCAGAAAGAAAGUGAAAGAACACAGCAUUAAUCAAAGAUAUAGAAAGGUACAUGAAAUAUCUGAGGCAGCAGCAGCAGCACGAUCUUCCAUUCACAAGAUAGCACGAGAAUAUCGUGCAGUUUCAAGUCAACCAUCCCAGAAAAUAUUGGAAAGUAAUGGACACACAUCAGCUACGAAGAGUGAAGCUAAAGAGGAAAAAAGUAAAAUUUCAGAGGCUACUUCUCCUGUGUUCUCUGCCAGUACAUCCAGGUUACCUGUUUCAGAAAGAAGGAAACUUCCAAGUGUUGGUGAUUCAGUCCUUGUUCCUUCACUUAAUAAGCAAGCUUUAGUCCUAAAAGUGGAUCCUUCUAGAGAAGAACUAUUAGUACAAGCUGGUAACAUGAAGCUUAAGCUUAAAUUAACAGAUGUAUUGGCCAGGUAGGCUUUUCACAUCUCCCUCAUGCAGUAAGAAGUAUCCUUGGGACUGGCACUUGAAACCCAGUUUCUCGCCACCUCUCAAUUGGUAUGAAAGAACAGUUAGGCUUGCUAAACGUGGAGUAAGAAUGGUUGAUGGGUAUAUGUUCUCACUAUUCCGUUUUAAUAAUAAAUUAGUGCAGUAGACUGCGGACAUAUUUGAAUAGCCCGAGCAUUUUUUUUUUUUUUUGGGGGUCAUAAGGUGUCAAGUGCUAAAGAAACAUCCGUCAACCCUUACCUGAGCUUAUAUCCAGUUACCCGAGAUGUAUGCCAUGCUAUUUGACUAGGUACUUUUACCAUUGAGAUCUUUUCAAUGAGGAAAUGUACUCAAAGUUUGCAGCUGCGCCAUUCUCAUGAUGUUUUGGCGUUUUAAAGGGGGGAGAAGGUUCCUUCAAAGAAUAUGCCCAAUGUUAGUAAGCAAGCAAUAACUUCUAGCAAAUACACAUCGUCACAUGCGAGGCAGCGUGGCAGGGCCAAAUAUGGAACUUUGCUGAGGUUGCUAUGUGGGUGAUGCCAACGUUGUGGGGAACUUCUGAUUGGUCCUCAUUCAGUACUUAUUGGUUUGAGCUUGUCAAGUCAACUGCUAGAUUCUGAUUUCUGAGUAACAUUAUCAAUUCUUUUGCACUAGGUUGCUUAGUUGCCUCGGCAGUUGUGUGUACUUGUUAACUCCGUUGUCCGCAAAAAGAUGAAGAGUGUGAAGUCCUCACAUGCAUAGUCGUCGGUUUUACUUCAAUUAGGUAAUUACUCAUUAACCUAAAUGCCUGGUGACGACUUGGAGCAUACGUUUUGUAUGCCCUAAAACAAAUGUAUGCUAAAACAAUAUAAGCAGCAAAAAUGUAUGCCCUGCAUUUCGAUAAUAUGAGACUUGGAGCAUACGUUUUGUAUUCAAGGUUCUGCCAUCACAUAAAUAAAAGAAGUGCAACUUGGAUUGCGAGG